GACGAACGCUGGCGGCGUGCCUAAUACAUGCAAGUAGGACGCAGUUGCUAACGGGUGAGUAACGCGUAGGUAACUACCUAUUAGAGGGGGAUAAAUAUUGGAAACGAUAGCUAAUACCUCAUACUAGUAGAUGGACCUGCGUUGUAUUAGCUAGUAGGUAGGGUAAUGGCCUACCUAGGCAACGAUGCAUAGCCGGCCUGAUAGGGGGAUCGGCCAAACUGGGACUGAGACACGGCCCAGACUCCUGCGGGAGGCAGCAAUAGGGAAUCUUCGGCAAUGGGGGGAACCCUGAACGAGGAAAGCCGCGGGAGUGGAGAAGGUUUUCGGAGGGUAAAGCUCUGUUGUUAAGGAAGCGGUACUUAACCAGAAAGGGACGGCUAACUACGUGCCAGCAGCCGCGGUAAUUC
rnacentral:rRNA from 1 species